GUCUACGGAGGCUAAUUCUCUUUCCCUUGGUUUUGGCCGCUUUCCUGCAUUUCUGACUCCUGUGGGAAAAGUUUACUAGCUAACCUGAGCCACUCGUUUGAGAAUUUCUGUUCUAUUUCACAACUCUACCUUCCUAUCUUCAGGGUUUUGUUUCGCCUCCUGUCUGUCUACUUACCAGAAGAUUUCAAUUGUAGUGCAUAUUUACAGGUUUGGUGAAUCCGUUUUUUUUCCCCCUCUCUGGAACUUUAUAGGAUUUAGUUGAAUGGGGGUGAGGGGGGUGACAGGGGAUGAUGACAUUGUUCAAGCCUUCUGUUUUCGGAAUGAAAGCAAGAGGUAGAGAAAGAGGAAGUAACUUGCUCAGAAAGAUGGUCUUCUGAGCUCGGUGUCAGGCUUUCCCCAGGGUGAGUUCCUGUGAGCAUGGUUGCACCUUUCCUCCUCUGUGGGGUCUUGCCCGCAUUUGUUAAGUAGCAGUCAUUAGGGAAGCCUCCUCCUCUGGGGAGAGCUGUUCUGAGUUGCCUGGCUGUUGUUGGCUGGGAUCAUGUUCUUGCUGAGCUAAUUUGAGAAUACAGAGAUGAACCAGGCAGACUUGAUGAGCCUCUUUGCCUUACUAUGUUUAUGCACUUUUUUAAACCUCAUCCUACAGAUCACAGGUAUUUACACGCAGGCCUUUUUUUUUCUUUCUACUGAGUACAAGCAGUCUGAGGAAGCAAUGUGUUUGAAGAGCAAACCACUUCUGUCUCUAAAUUCUGAUUUAAAAGCACUCAGACUUCUAAGCCAGAAGGCACACUUUGAUAGGGGUCCUUCUUGAUAACUAAGGGGCUAGAGUGUUCUUUCAUAUGAAAUUAGGCUACAAGAGCUAAAUAUGGAGGCGCUGACACCUUUUAGAUCUUAUAAGCCUUUAUAGGAUUAAGAACUGACAUUGUAUAAUUAAGCUAGCAUUUUUAAAAGUCCCAUUACAGACUACCAUCACUUUCCUAAAUUUCUACAGUCUGUCAUUCUUGAAACAUUAAACAUUUUACUAAAUGAUCUAUAUUGUAGAUGUAAAUGUGGGAUCUGAGAAUUUCUUUGAUGGACAUAAUCAAAGUAGAAUACUUACUUAUUAGAAAAAAUUUAAGCAGCCUUUCUAAAAUCAAUGAUAAAUAAAAAUUGUGGGUCACUUUGGAUUAAUGAAUACAUCCUGAUAUUAGGAAAUGAAGAUUUAGAGAGUCAAAUCACUUGUUAAAUGUCAUUGCCAGUUAGGGAGAAUCAGCAAGAAACAUGUGCAGUUUGCGUGCCCCAAAAUUCAGUAUAUGUUGAAUGAUAAGAGAUAACAUGAGUUUCUAAGUACUUGUCCUUGGCCUUCCACAACCAUAGGGAGGACUGAGAGGCAGCACUGCAGAGUGUGAUUCCUGAAGUGUAGUUCCACGGCCAGUUUAUGAGAAAUGCAAAUCCCUGAGUCUUACCUUAUACCUCUGCCAAACCAGAUAGUGUUGAGGUAAAUUCCAGCAGUAUAUUUUCAAAGUAUUUUAGAUGAUACAAAAUCAAUUUGAGGUUUAGGGAAUACCACACACAGCACAAGCUGUUGUAGAUCUGGUAUUGCAUCUCCUCCACUUCCUCCUCCCCCCUCCUUGUUUAAUCUAUAAAAUGUACAUAAUUACACCUCCUAUUUCUAUCUCACCUGGUUUACAGUGACUAAGUGAGUCAGUGAUAGAUAUCUUCAGGUAUCACACAUUUGCCACAGUAUAUAUUUAUGUAUUUAUGGUUUUAGGACUGUUUUUCUUCUUUCUUAAGCUUUUUUUUGUUACACUUACAUGUUGAUUUUGAGUAUGGAGGAGAUACUUAUAGGAUGGAGUCAAUUCUAUCCUUCUACUGCAUGGGUCCCAAGGCUUAAAUUUAUAUAUUCAGGUUUGGUGGCAAGCACUUUUAUCCAGUGUUAUUAGAGUUUUACUGCUGUGAACAGACACCAUGACCAACCAAGGCAACUCUUAUAAGGACAAAAUUCAAUUGGAGCUGGCUUACAGGUUCAGAGGUUUAGUCCAUAAUCAUCUAGGCAGGAACAUGGCAGCAUCCAGGCAAGUAUGGUACAGGAGUAGCUGACAGUUCUACAUUUUCAUCUGAAGGCUACUAGCAGAAGACCAACCCACAGACAACUAGGGUCUUAAAGCCAACAUCCACAGUGACAGACUUACUCCAACAAGGCCACAUCUUCUAAUAGUGCCACUCCCUGUGCCAAGCCUAUACAAGACAUCACACUAUAUAAAUUUCUAUUAGACAUCGUCAUGGUGGUAAGUAGACCUCUAAAUCCUAGUUUCCAAAAUAACUCCCAACAUGCAAUUAAUUCUCCCCAUAUUUGUUAAAAGAAUGAAUAAUAAUGAUAUUUGGCAUCAUGAUUCCAUAAUCUCUGCCUUGUGAAUGAAUGUGAAAAGCAUCGUACUUGAAUUCACAUCCAAAUAAAAGAACUUAGAGGCAGAGAGAACAUGGGACAUAUCAACUCUAGUUGUGGGAUUUGGUGUUACAAAUCGUUCUGGCAUUGGUGAUAAUAACAAUAUUAAAUUUGUAUUUAGUGUGUUAAUUUUACUAAGGCAAUAUACCAGCCUAUUUAAUAAAAAGCACCAAAGCAAUAAACACAGGCCAUUCUAUAUAAUAAGUAUGGUAUAAUUCUACAAGGUAGCUAUUUUGGAAUUUGAUCUUAUUCUUAGUAAAGUUGAGGCUUAAAUGACUUACCUGAGACUAAUGUCUACAAAACAAAAAGCAUGUAUAGAAACAAAAAAGGGAACAUGUAUAGACAGAGCCAAGACAAGGCAGGCAAAGAAGGUAGGACUUAGAAUUGGAAGGGAGGUGCUCAUAAGGAGAGGUCUGAGGUAAUCACAGUCAGUCCAGCAAGGAAUUUGGUUUCCAGAAUAGCCCAUACAGAAGUGCAGUUUGCGCAGAAAUGGUCAAUCUCUGACAUGGGAGCUGUACUUUCAGUGGCUGGUUUGACUAGGAAACUGAGAUGGAUCCUGGAGUCCUGAAGUGAGCACAACCCCAGUAGGUGCUUUUUAAAAAAAGUGGAGUCACUGUGUGUGGCCCCUGUGGUGUCACUCUGGAGAGACAUGUCCAAAAUUAUCCUCAGCAAUAAAAAAGCAGUAACAGUUUAUUGGGCACUUAUAAUGUCCUGCCUGGGUUUGGUACUUUGUUUCUAUCCUUAUUGCUACAUAGCUUUUAAAAACUCCACAUCCUGCUGCAUUCGUGUGGUUCCUUCUAAUGGUAUGAUUGACUUUUCUUCCACACUUCAUGCUUUUGUACUAUAGAAUUCUAUUAAUCUUGUAUGUCAAGAUUUAUCACAAAGAUCAGCCGAUAUCUUCCCAUUCAUUUCCUCAACAAACUAGAUGAAAGAACAGAAGGCAGAAGGAGAGAAUCAUAAACAGUCACCUGAUCUGAACAGCCUAAAGAUAGUUCCUGAAGGCUAUCUUUGUAAUGCUUCCUGCUCAGUUAGCUGGACUGCUGAUUAUUUCUAAAACUCUUCUCAGAGUGCCCUUGCUUCCCUCCUCCCUUCUUUCUUGUGAUGAGACCACACUAUGUAGCUUUGGGUGGCCUGGAACUCAAGCUCACCACGUAAACCAGGAUGGCCUGCUACUCAUAGACAUUUGUCUGCCUCUGCUUCGCAAGUUCUAGAAUCAAAGGAGUGCCGUCAUGUUCAUCUUCAAGAAAACUCCAAGAUAACACUUCAUCGACUAUGAAUGGGAAAUGGGUUUUUGUUUUCUUAAAACAUUCAGCAUCAAUGGCAAUAACAUGAAAUAGAACUGGACAUGUUGGGUAGGAUCCCCAAGCAUCAACUCUGAGAAUGUCCUUGGUAGAGGCCAGAAGAGCUCCUGGUCUUUCUGUCUUCAUCUACACAAUGAGCACCUCUGCCUAGAGACUGCACUUAACUAUAUGACUAUGUGACUGCUGGCUGAAACCAACAAAAGGCCCCUGAACACUUGGUUGGACCAACAGGACUGACCAGCUAAUCCCCCUUAACCUCACUUCUGUUUCUGUCAUAAGCCCUUGAUAAAGCUCCACUAAACUAGCAGUUCAGUGGUACUCUAUGUCCUGGGAACCACACUUCUCCAUCUCCUUGUUUUGUUUUGUUUUUUUUCUUUUUUCCUUUGUUUUGUUCCCACCUAUAAAUCUAUAAAAAACUUCUCUCUAAACCUGGUCCUCUAUGGUCCAUGCAUUUCAUUCUUCAAAUUAUUGAAACAAGAACCUGAAAAACACUGGCUUAGGGGAGUUUCCAGACACCUAGCCACACCUGCCUCACCUUCCCCUACAGCUAGCCCCACUCAAGUGCGAGAGAAGCUUUGCACUUUUCAAAGGCUUGCAGUAUCCUCCUAUCAAUAACAAUAAAAUGAAGUCACCGGGUGACAUACUUUUUUCAAAGCCAGCAGUGUGUCUCAUCACAGUAGUGACGCAUCCUGAGGCAAGCGCCAUCGAGUUGUUGGCAAAUAUCAUGGAAUAUUUUCAUAAAAACUCUGUUUAUCUAGCCAGAUGUUUCCAACCACCCUGACACGUUGAUCCUUUAAAGUUCCUCAUGUUGAGGUGACCCCUUACUAUAAGUUAUUUUUGUUACCGUCUUGAAUUUUGUUACUGUUGUGAAUUGUAAUGCAGAUAUCUGAUAUGCAGGAUACAUAAUAUGUUACCCUUAUGAAAAGGUCAUUGAAUCCCAAAAGGGUUGUGACCUACUGGUUAAGAACCUCUGAUCUAGACCAAUGACUCUAUAUAAUCUUCUGCUUCAAUGAAGAGACAUAGUAAAUACAAGUUUGACAAAGCUGUUGCACUACUAACAUGGUUGAUAUAGUACGCUAUUUACAGUAAUCCUCCCUUAGUAAUAAUUGGAAGACUUGCCUUGGAUGCAGUGUGUGGCCACAGUGUCCCGGAUCUAGAAUGCCAGCACUUGAAAGGCUAAGACUAAAGGAUGAAGACAUCAUAGCCACUUUGGAUUACAACUCAGACAUCAUCAUAAAAACAAAAAGACAGGUGUUUGCUCUCAGUACUAAAUAGCAUUGCCAUGUGAUUCAUAAACUUGCUUUUACAUGACUGGCAGCAGUGUUUACUUAUUGUAGCCCCUCCCCAUAAACGCAUGAAUAAUAUACUGGGAGAAUAGCUUAGCUACAAUAACUUUCUAUCUGACAUCCUGUGAAGGAACCUGUCUCAAAAUUGUGUAUCCUUGCUUACAAGAUAGCAGAGAUAGGCCAGCAGAGAACACAGCAUGAAUCUAAUAAUGGAAGACCACAGAGCACACACUCCCUGUUAGUUCUGUCUUGCUUGCUUCAUUUUUGACUAUAAAGUAUGAAGUAUCUACAGUUUUAUUCAGAUAAUGUACGAAAAGAUACCUUUGAAUUUGGUAGAAUCGUGAGCAUGUCAUUUUAAAGAAAUAUUCUUCAUAUUUUAGUAGAUUAAGUAGUAUAUAAUGUAGCCACCUUUUAGGUCAAUCUGAGAGUAAUCUUCUGAUGACAGAUUAGAAAACAGAAGCUUAGAAAAGUAAGUGAUUUUUCUGUGGGUUCGCGACUGGCAACUAUAAAAAUAAUAACGAAAUGAGGGCAUGAGGUUUUAAAUUCGAACUCUAGAAUGCAAUGAAGAAAGUGAGGCUUCUCUAAUGACUAAUGCAGUCGAAUACAAAAGAAGAGAAACAGGUUUUCCAAGUGAGCUGUUCAGACUGGAAGCAGCUGAGCUGUGAAGUGCUGAGCUAAUGUCAAUUAUGACCCCGCUCCCAGUCCACUAUCUGCAUGGACUGCAUCAGCCUGGGCCUUUGAAUCAACACUUUAAGAAGCAUCUAUUCCAUCAAGAGUCAGAUUUUCCCAUGGGUCACCGAACCUGAUGACCUCCUUGGCUGAGCAUGCGCCUUGUCCAAUGUACCAUCAUCACUUCUUGCUGUUACCCACAGCAACUACUUCCUAUGCUCACUAACUAGUCUUUGAACUGAUGCACAACACAAGACCUCAUAUUUCCAGCCCCUGUGUCUCCCUGCCCCUUUCUCAUCCGAUCUGCAGUGUACCCUAGAGAUCUUUACCACCCAUUUUUUUCCUUUAUCAAGUAACUCCCCUGUUUAAAACACCUCACUCAGUUGUUUUUGGCUUUGGUUUUUGGUUUUUUGUUUUUAAAUCAUUUUGGAACAAACUCCUAUGAUCCCUCUGUGUCUGACCUCACUAACCCUUUGUUCCUCUGGUUGCUCAUUGUCUUAAAACAUUUGACAAUCAAGCUGUCCAGAUCCCUUUUCUCUUUCUUAUCUUCCUGUCUUUCUGUCUUCUCUGCCUGAAAUAUUUCAACAUGUUUUUAAUGACAGCUCAUUUGCACUGCUUGGGAAAUUUUUAUUGUAAAUAAUUUACUUCCUCAGUGGCUCCUCCUUAAAUGGCUGCUAGUUAACUUUAUUACUUUAUCUGUAAAUAUUUCUUAAAGCCACGUGUAAUUAAUUUCCCUGCUCUCCUGAAACAGAAACACCAAGCUACCUGAGAUUUGAUUGUCUCAUCGAGAGAUCUCCAGUAUUAUUAAAUGUCAAUUGAAAGAAUACCACUUUACUCUCCGGAUUUCAGAAUCAGACAAAUUCAUCCAGCAUAAGAGAGAAGUUGUAAAAGUUGACCCUACACUACUUAACAAAGAAGACUUUCGUGAAAAAAACCAUUGGGCAAUAGGACAGCUAAGCUAUGUGUCAUCGUUUUACUUUCAAAGCUUUGCAGUUUAGGUUGGCUUCCUUUUAUUGUUAUAAGCAAUGCCAGGAUGAAAAGAUAAAUUCAACCAAGUGAAUUCUGAAACAGCAGAAUUACAUCUUUACAAGAAGAGACCAGAACCAAGCUAGCUGGCCUACAGUGGCAAAAGUGAAGGUCAAGUCCCCAAAUGCAGAAAAUUCUUUCCUUUUCAGAAUCAGAUCCCUUCCUCAGUUAAUGACAUGAUUUUAGGAAACCUAUGUUCCAGGGAGAGACAGUGAAGAAUAUCCUCCGUCUCGUACACUGGCUGAGGCCGUUCCUGCUUUAACCUGAAUCUGAUCUCCUUGAUAGAAUAUGCUGGUGGAAAACUACCCAACCCUGUUCUAGGAACCAAAGGUCACGAUGUCCGAGCCAACUUAAGCCUUGCCUUUGUUCAAACUGUUUGUGUGGAACUCCCUCCAGUGAACCCCUUAUCUUACUUUCUAUUAAAACUGCUUGCCUCAAACUGUUUACUUCUGCAAAGCCCCCCUGCAGCUGCUGAGUCAGAGGCCAAGACAGUCUCUGCUAGUACAAACCCAGAGUUCUAGAGACUCAGAUCCCCAAACUGGGGUAGGAUCCCAGACUGCUAGAUAAAAUAAAGACUUUUAAUUGGCUAUACACUGUGUCUGAGUGGUCAUCUCUGGUAAGUUCCCCCUAGCAUUUCUGACUCAUACAGGGAGCACAGUAACAACACGUGCCUUAUCGGUGAACUAAGAACAGAGAAACUGAAUUAAAAAUGAGAGCAGUAGGGCAGGAGAGAUGACUCAGUGGAGCAAUUGCUAGACCCACAGAAGGCAGCUCACAGUCGCCUUUCGCUACAGUUCCAGGGUAUCUGACACUGACUUCUGGCCUCUGCAGGACCUGUAA